CAGAUAUUUGCCAAUGGCCUAUUAUGAACCGUACCCUAAAAGCUUCACAAAGGAAAAGUGAAUGGGCAGACGGGAAUUUGAUGUUUCUAAAAGACAUGUGUGACCUGAUGUGGAAUUAAUAUACCAAUAUGUGAAAUUUCCAGAAAGUAAGAGAAUGCUUGAAGGAGUUAUUGUGAUGAUCACACCUGGAAUUAAGGCACCAUGGAGGAGCUAACUGGAAUGAGACUGCAGAGAUACAAUGGGCACAAUACAGUAUGU
rnacentral:lncRNA from 1 species